UUUAGAGUUUUGGACCUGGCUCAGGAUGAACGCUGGCGGCGUGCCUAAUACAUGCAAGUCGAGCGAACGGAUAAGGAGCUUGCUCCUUUGAAGUUAGCGGCGGACGGGUGAGUAACACGUGGGUAACCUACCUAUAAGACUGGAAUAACUUCGGGAAACCGGAGCUAAUGCCGGAUAACAUUUGGAACCGCAUGGUUCUAAAGUAAAAGAUGGUUUUGCUAUCACUUAUAGAUGGACCCGCGCCGUAUUAGCUAGUUGGUAAGGUAACGGCUUACCAAGGCAACGAUACGUAGCCGACCUGAGAGGGUGAUCGGCCACACUGGAACUGAGACACGGUCCAGACUCCUACGGGAGGCAGCAGUAGGGAAUCUUCCGCAAUGGACGAAAGUCUGACGGAGCAACGCCGCGUGAGUGAUGAAGGUUUUCGGAUCGUAAAACUCUGUUAUUAGGGAAGAACAAAUGUGUAAGUAACUGUGCACAUCUGACCGNACCUAUCNAGC
rnacentral:rRNA from 1 species